UCGACGAUGAAUCUUCUAGCUUGCUAGAAGUGGAUUAGUGGCGCACGGGUGAGUAAUGCAUAGGUUAUGUGCCCUUUAGUCUGGGAUAGCCACUGGAAACGGUGAUUAAUACUGGAUACUCCCUACGGGGGAAAGUUUUUCGCUAAAGGAUCAGCCUAUGUCCUAUCAGCUUGUUGGUGAGGUAAUGGCUCACCAAGGCUAUGACGGGUAUCCGGCCUGAGAGGGUGAUCGGACACACUGGAACUGAGACACGGUCCAGACUCCUACGGGAGGCAGCAGUAGGGAAUAUUGCUCAAUGGGGGAAACCCUGAAGCAGCAACGCCGCGUGGAGGAUGAAGGUUUUAGGAUUGUAAACUCCUUUUGUUAGAGAAGAUUAUGACGGUAUCUAACGAAUAAGCACCGGCUAACUCCGUGCCAGCAGCCGCGGUAAUACGGAGGGUGCAAGCGUUACUCGGAAUCACUGGGCGUAAAGAGUGCGUAGGCGGGGUAAUAAGUCAGAUGUGAAAUCCUGUAGCUUAACUACAGAACUGCAUUUGAAACUGUUACUCUGGAGUGUGGGAGAGGUAGGUGGAAUUCUUGGUGUAGGGGUAAAAUCCGUAGAGAUCAAGAGGAAUACUCAUUGCGAAGGCGACCUGCUGGAACAUUACUGACGCUGAUGCACGAAAGCGUGGGGAGCAAACAGGAUUAGAUACCCUGGUAGUCCACGCCCUAAACGAUGGAUGCUAGUUGUUGCCUUGCUUGUCAGGGCAGUAAUGCAGCUAACGCAUUAAGCAUCCCGCCUGGGGAGUACGGUCGCAAGAUUAAAACUCAAAGGAAUAGACGGGGACCCGCACAAGCGGUGGAGCAUGUGGUUUAAUUCG
rnacentral:rRNA from 1 species